AAUCGGAAACAAAAUAACCAGCCAUCUAGUGACAAUUUUUAUUUCUACAACCUAGUAACCAAAUAAUUCAUAACCACAAUUCUCUCAUCUCCACUAAAAUAUUAUUUAUUUAUAAAAGCUGAGUUUAUUCAACAUCAAAAAUGAUUACGCGACCAUUUGUUUAUCCCGCAGUGGCACUGGGUAUCGCACUAAUUAUUUGGAGAUAUAAUGACUCAAGGAAACCAGAAUGGUGGCAAGUUGCACUUGAACCAGAAAAAUACAGCAAGGAAACCAAGUCAUGAAGCAAACCUCUGCAUUUAUUUCUAUCAUAGUUUAAUUAUCCAUUGAAAUAAAUUGUUAUCAUUCAAAAAUAUGAAUCAAUAAAAAAAAUUACAUAAUAA